rnacentral:lncRNA from 1 species
AAGAAUAUUAGCAGUAGACAAUAUGGGGGAAAAUACUGUCUUCGGCAACCUGCAUUAGAAGCCAGACAACUUGUACCAAUUACUGUGCAGAAAUCCUUAUAAAAGACUCCAAGUUACAAGGUAUGCAUAUAUCUAAUCUUUACCUACCGCAACCAAUUCAAUAAAAGUGGAGUGAUGUAAUAUAUGGAUAAUGAUUAUGAGACAUAAUGAUGGAAGGAAUUAUUAUGGUAAUGACUAACUUGAGUGUAAUAUUGAAAUUUUAACAAUGAAUACUUAUGUAUUUACGCUGCAUCAGUGGGAAUCCAUGGCACGUCACUUUUUGUUUGAUGCACUGUACAAAUCUCAAUUUUUUAAAUAAUAUAGAUUCUGACUUUACUAUUUGGUUACUAUCUUUAGAAUCAAAGUACUAGCGUACAAAACUGAAUCUAAUAUUGAGUUAAAUUGAGGGUAUUACUUUUAAGGAAUUGUAAUUGAAUAUUAUGUUUAGAUUAAGAUAUUGGAUAUACUUUUUGAUAGGUUAUAUGUACCUUGUAAUGUUUUGAUAAUCUAACAAACUUAAUGACAAGAACCAGAUAAGGAAUCUGAUACACACUCUCAAGUAUGUGGGAAUAACAAGUCUCAAGCUGGAGAUGUAAAUCAACUCCUCAGACGACAAAGAAACAACAAAGGGAACAGAUGGAACAGCAGUUCCCCUAGUGACCAUACCCAGUCAACUCCCCACAGUUGUAAAGUUGCUGCCUGCACACGCAACAGUGUAAAAACAGUGCAUCAGUCAACUUUAUGGGGAAUGCCCUUUACCUAACUUGCUUGCAUCAUUCAAGUGAUGUCACAAAUGAGUUAUUAACAUCAAGCAAAGGUAAAACAAAAUACUUGCACAUUCAAGAAUUGAUCAGGCAUUUUCUCUCAAGUCUGUGCCAAUCUUGCAAGUGAUUCUCAAGGGCAUCAAGAACAAAGAACAACAUAACAAAGGACCAGCUUCAUGUAUUGAGUCAUUACAUAUCCCUAGUUGUAUUGCACCUUUGUUAAAGUUCUUUACUUAUAAUUCCUACUUAGCUUAGUUAGAAGCAUUGUGUAGGAAACGUUUGUAAAUCAUAAACCCUUGUGUUUGUGUCUUGGCUAGAGUUAGUCGAGUUGUAAAGUCUUUGUAAUAGAGUUAUUACAAAAUGGCUUGUAAAUAGAGUUGUUACAAGUUAGUGAGGGAUUAAGUGGUUAAUUCCUAGGUUACAAUAGAUUGUAAUCUAAAAUUUGCUCAGUAGUGAAGUUGAAAUCCUAGAAGGGUAGGUCGUGAUUUUUAAUCCCGUGAGCUGGGAGUUUUUCACGUAAAACUUCUUUGACUCAUUUACCUAGUGCAGUAUGCGUGUGUUCUGUGGGAACUAAUAGAGAACCUGGUUCUCUAUAUAGUUUGGUGGACUAUUAAAUUCUAUCAAUUGGUAUCAGAGCAGGUUCUUUCUAAAAGGUUAAUACCUAGAAAGGAUCUUCAUCAUGGCUGCUCCACCAAACUUCGAGGAAGGACAAUCAACGUACAGACCACCUAGAUUCAACGACCAAUAUUAUGGUUGGUGAAAAACAAGAAUGCAUGAUUUCAUCAUGGCUGAGGACUCAGAGUUGUGGGACGUAAUCUUUGAUGGACCUUUUGUUCCCAUGAAAACUGUUGAUGAGGGAACAACUACAAUCCCAAAAACGAAAAAAGAGUACAACGAUGCUGACAGGAAGGCUAUUGAGAAGAAUUUCAGGGCAAAAAAGAUUCUUGUUUGUGGCAUCGGACCAGAUGAAUACAACCGCAUCUCAGCUUGUCAGAGUGCUAAGGAGAUCUGAGAAGCUCUUCAAACAGCACACGAAGGGACAACUCAAGUCAAGCAGUCGAAGAUCAACAUGUUGACAACUGAGUAUGAGCUCUUAAGAAUGAAGGACGAUGAGUCCAUUCAGGACAUGCACACUCGCUUCACCUCUAUCAUCAAUGAGCUUCACUCACUGGGAGAAAUCAUUCCUAGGAACAAACUUGUCAGGAAACUACUUAGUGCAUUACCUGGUUCCUGGGAAAGCAAGGUAAAUGGCAUCACAUAAGCAAAAGAUUUGCAGAAGCUGACCAUUAAUGAACUCAUUGGUAAUCUGAAAACGUAUGAAAUGAAGAAGAAAAAAGAUCAUGAGAGAAGAGAGCCCAAAAGGGAGAAGAACCUGGUCCUCAAGAUAGACAACAAUGAAUCAAGUGGUGAGGAUGCUGAUAUGGCUUACUUGACAAAGAGAUUUCAGAAGAUGGUCCACAAAAAUGGAGGUAUUCCAAAGAAGGGCAGCUCUAGCAAGCCAAGAGGCUAUGACUUAUAUCAUAAGUAUGGGAAGUCAGGGCACUUCAUCAAAGAUUGUCUUCUCCUCAAGCAAGAUCAGUACAAACACAACUCAGACAAAGCAGCUAAGAGGAACCAGGUUCCUGACAAACGAUUCAAAAGAAAAGAUGCUACCGACAACGUUGUGAAACAAGCUCUUGCUGCAUGGGGAGACUCCUCAAGUGAAUAUGGCGAAGGUGAUGACAAAGGUGACAGCUCCAUGAUGGCAGUAGAAAGUGAAGCAACUGAAUAUGACUCUACUUUUGCCCUAAUGGCACAAUCUGAUGAUGAUGAAGAUGACGAUGAAGAUGAGGUAAACUUUCUGGAUGUUCAAAGAAAUUUGAAAUCCUAUUCUCAAAAGAAGCUUAUAUCUUUGGCUAAUAUUUUAAUUGAUGCUUAUCACAGUCUCAUUAAUGAUAAAAAUGCUCUAACCACGAAACUAGGAGAAAUAGAACACGAGAGAGAUGAUCUAGUGGUGGUUGCGGUUGAUCAAAGAGAGACCAUUGAGAGUUUAAAAAGGGAAAAAGAUACUUUGACUGAGAGAAUUGCAAACAUAGAGCAUGAGAGAGAUGACCUAUUAGUAGUAGCCGUGGACCUAAAGGAAAUAAUUAAGGAACUAAAAAGGGAAGGUAGGCAUGAGAUUACCCAAAAGGGAAAGAAAGUUGCAAGUGAGGCACACCUUAGGCUUGAAGAUGAGCUAAAAUCAGUGAAAUCUAGUCUAUGUGCCGAACUUGAGAGAAACAGACAACUUCAGGAAGAUCUAGGCAGAGUUAAGAAUGAUCUAGAAAAAUCACUCAAGUGGACCUGGUUCUCUGAUGCUAUCACUGCCUUGUACAAAAACAAUGGGGGAAACAGGCAAGGGAUAGGGUUCCAAAGGGAAAAGACUCCUUACAACCCUCAUAUCAAGUAUGUUACUGUACCUGAUAACUGGCUUUGCAAUCAUUGUGGCAACACUGGGCACUUUAAGGAAACCUGUAAGGCCAAGUUUCAGUCUCAACAGAAAAACAAAGUUUUUGCUAAAAAGAUAACUACUGUUAUAGAACCUGGUCCCUUAUAUAAAACUCAUGUGAUGCCUGCUUGGACCAAGAAGGUCCUGAUUCAUCCCUUUUCUCAUUGCAAGGGACCCAAACUUAUUUGGGUUCCUGAGUCUAACCCUUGAUUUCCUUGUGCAGGGAGCAGUGAAAGGGAGCAGCCAACAAUGAUACAUGGAUAGUGGCUGCUCGAAGCACAUGACUGGAAGCACAAAUGAUUUUCUUUCACUCAAAGCCCUGCAAGGAGGGAGUGUAUCCUUUAGAAAUGGCAAAAAGGGAUACAUUCUAGGAAUUGGAAGAAUUGGGAAGUCUCUUUCUCACUCACUUGAAAAUAUGUACUACGUGAAUGGAUUGAAGUACAACCUGUUAAGUGUCUCCAAAUUUGUGACAAGGGAAACAAGAAUGGUGAUCUCAGCUGUCUAAGUGUUGUUGAUGAUGAUUCUGAAUUAUGGAACAUAAGGAUGAGUCAUGCAAGUUUUACGUUGCUAAACAAGUUGGUCAAGAAGGACCUGGUUCAUGGCCUGCCCAACUCAAGCUUCAAGGAUCACAAAGUGUGCGAUACAAUGUGUUGAGGAAAGUAUACAUGUGAUCUUUGAUGAAUCUCAUCACUCAUGUGGGAAGGAUUCACAUGAUAAGAUUGAUCAAGUGGGAGAGCAGUCAACUCUCCCUGGUGAAGUCAUUGACAUGGCAAAUGGAAAAACUAACACGAUGAGUCAGGUCAAGGAUUCAAAUGACAAUGGCACAGAUGAAUCUCCAGCUGACAUAGAGUAACCCGGUUCCUCAAUCACAACAACUGAAGCUGAAAACAGAGUUACUGAUGCAGAUCAAGGGACCCCACAUUCAGAAAUACCUGGACUAUCCCAUAACAAGAUUCGGGUGUCUAACUGGAAACACAAAAGUUCAAAUCCUCUGGAAAAUGUGAUCACUCCUCUUGAUUCAGGAAUUCAAACCAUAUUAAUGGCAACAAAUGCGCUUGUCUUCUCAGCUUUUCUCUCUCAAAUUGAGCCCAAUAAUAUCAAGGAAGCAUUAAAAGAUGCUGAUUGAAUUACAGCUAUGCAAGAAGAACUCCAUCAAUUUGAGAGGAACAGUGUAUGGCACCUGGUUCCACGACUUGCUGACAGAACUGUUAUAGGAACCAAGUGGGUAUUCAGAAAAAAACUUGAUGAGUUUGGAAACACAACAAGGAACAAGGCAAGGCUAGUAGUUCAAGGCUACAAUCAGGAAGAAUGGAUUGACUAUGAUGAAACUUUUUCUCCAGUUGCUCGAAUGGAGGCCAUCAAAAUUCUUAUUGCCUUUGCAUCUCAUAUGGAAUUCAAAUUGUUUCAAAUGGAUGUCAAAAGUGCUUUUCUGAAUGGCUUUCUAAAAGAAGAAGUCUUCGUCAAGUAACCACCUGAUUUCGAGUGCCAUGAGCAUUCCGAGCACGUGUUUAAACUUCACAAGGCAUUAUAUGGACUGAAGGAGGUUCCUCGUGCAUGGUAUGAAAGACUGUCUAAGUUUCUUCUAGAAAAUGGCUUUACAAGAGGGAAAAUUGACAACACUCUAUUUCUGAAGAAACGCGGGAGGAACCUGCUCAUUGUGCAAGUUUAUGUUGACGACAUCAUCUUUGGUGCAACAAAUGAUUCUUUGUGUGAAGAGUUUGCAACUCUCAUGGGAAGUGAGUUUGAAAUGAGCAUGAUGGGAGAAUUGAAUUUCUUCUUGGGUUUGCAAGUCAAGCAAACUUCUAAGGGCACAAUGAUAAGUCAGCAUAAGUGCAUCAAAGAGCUUCUGAAGAGAUUUGAGAUAGAGAGUUCAAAGAUCAUUGAUACACCUAUUGCCACUGCCACUCGCCUAGAUUUGGAGGACAUGGUUCUCCUGUAAACGAGACUAUGUAUAGAGGCAUUAUUGGGUCACUUUUGUAUCUCACAGCAAGUAGACCAGACAUUAUUUUCUGUGUGGGACUCUGUGCCAGGUUUCAAUCCAAUCCAAAGGAGUCUUAUCUGAAGGCUGCAAAGAGAAUUCUGAGGUAUCUCAAAGGAACGUAGGACCUGGAAAAGCACUUCUGAAGCUGAGUAUGUGGCGGCUGCCUCUUGAUGUGCUCAACUACUUUGGAUCAAGCAGCAGCUAGAAGAUUUUGAAACAAUGUUGAGAAAGGGCUCGUCUGCCUGAAGUUUUGCAGCGUAGAAGAUCAAAUUAUAGAUAUAUUCCCCAAAGCACUGAGCAGAGAGCACUUGGAAAGAAUCGCUUGGCACUAGGGUUGAUGAAGUCUAGCUAGGGACCUGGUUCCUCGAUGAUUGGCUAUGAAAGAAAUGUACAGGAAAAGUAGCUAAAAGUAUUUUCUGGCAAAGUCUAACUCACCUCUAUAUCGUUACAGGUAGACACACAUGACGAUUACAGAGCAGACAAGUAGCUAAUACAUUGCACGUUGGUCAAAGGAUGAGGCUUACAUUUUCAAACUCUAUCAAGGAACCUGUUUCCUUUGACACAGGUUAGUAGCUCCUCUGUAUUCUCAUGUACAAUUUUUUAAAACGGCUGAAACGGUGCCACGUCAAUAUAUUGUCAAUUUCUUUUUGCUUCUUGAAUCAAAGCGUCUCACCCUUUAUGAAGCGACCCGAAUACCCAAAAUUGAUACCCAAACGGUCUCUAACUCCUCUCAAAUAAAUCCAUUCACAUUCACUUUCAGAAAUGUUUAUAUCACGAAUCCAAAAUUCCCCUUUUUCCUUCUUCAAAAUCUCUUCUUCAACUAACUACACUCCACCAUGUCUGACAAUCAUGAAACACAAAAUGUUCCAAGCAUCAUCUCCACUCUGUCCUCAUCCGUUGAAACACCAGUGAUAGAGAUUACAGUCGUUCUACGUAAUCCAUGCUAAGUUAUAUCAUUGGUAUUUUAUUUAUAGCCCAUAGUAAGUGUUGGAGCCGAUCCCUCGUCACUACUUCUUCGAGGUUAGGCGGGAUACUUACUGAGUACACAUUGAUUUACGUACUCAUACUACACUUGCUGUACAUUUUUAUGCAGGUACAUAUAUGUCUAGUGGCCUUGUGGGCGCACAUGCAUGGUUAUAGCGGGGACUUAGAAGAGAUGCACUCUAUACUACAAUCCGCAACUAGCAGAGUCUCAUUCAGAGUAUUUAUAUUUUUCCUGUCCAAUUUGUAUUCCGGACAGAUGCUGUAUUUUAUUUUACAUUCCUAGUUGAUGCUCAAGCACUUGUGACACCGGGUUUUGGGGUGAUUAGGGGUUGUCCUAUAUUGAAAUUGUUAAAAAUAUUAUUAUCUACACUAUAAAUUCCAUCUUUUACUAUUUAAUUUAAGGAAAUAUGAUUUCAUAAAUAUUA